rnacentral:rRNA from 1 species
UACGUAGGGGGCAAGCGUUGUCCGGAAUUACUGGGCGUAAAGCGCGCGUAGGCGGGCUGUUAAGUUAGGGGUGAAAGCCCGGAGCUCAACUCCGGAAUUGCCUUUGAUACUGGCAGCCUAGAGGCCGAGAGAGGUGAGUGGAACUCCGAGUGUAGAGGUGAAAUUCGUAGAUAUUCGGAGGAACACCAGUGGCGAAGGCGGCUCACUGGCCCGAAACUGACGCUGAGGCGCGAAAGCGUGGGGAGCAAACAGG